GACAGAGGAUGCAAGCGUUAUCCGGAAUGAUUGGGCGUAAAGCGUCUGUAGGUGGCUUUUUUAAGUCCGCCGUCAAAUCCCAGGGCUCAACCCUGGACAGGCGGUGGAAACUACCAAGCUGGAGUACGGUAGGGGCAGAGGGAAUUUCCGGUGGAGCGGUGAAAUGCGUAGAGAUCGGAAAAGAACACCAACGGCGAAAAGCACUCUGCUGGGGCCGACACUGACACUGAGAGACAAAAGCUAGGGGGG
rnacentral:rRNA from 1 species